UCCCCGGUAGCUCAGCAGGCAGAGCGGGUGACUGUUAAUCACUAGGUCCGCGGUUCAAUCCCGUGCCGGGGAGCCA
rnacentral:tRNA from 1 species